CUGUGUCCCUGGACUUGGACUUCUCAGUACCCGCCCUCCUCCCUAGAAAAAGUAGGAUGAUUGGAGAGGGCUGGGAUUGGGCAUUUCCUCUUCCCCGGUCAGUUAGACUCUGAGAAAACCCCAGCAGGCUGAACUCUAGGAAUAAAGUUUCCCCUGAGAGCAAGCCUUGCUCAGAAGAACACAGUGACUGGUGUAUUUUGAAAUGGUUUCUUCCCUUCCUCUUACUGAAAGCAUGAGGGGAUUUUCUCUGACGUUCACUAGAGAACCAGGUUACAGUCUUGGAGGUGAAGCUCAGCACAGCGUGGGGCUCCCGGAGAUUGGGUCACCCUGAAGUCUUGCUCUUGAUUAGAUUUGUCCACACUUCUGGCAGUUCGUUAAUUACCCUUCCGGUUUCCUCCCCUGGCACUGGCUCCUGCUGAGGGCUUUGGCCCCGAAUUUCUGCUCUGGGGCUGCUGGGAAUGAAGACUUCUCCUUCCGGGAGCCUGCUGUCUGCGGACCUCACAGAACUCAGCUGAGUCCUACCUGCUUCCUUUUCUUGGCACUGAAGAUGAAAGACACUGAAGAUGGAAGAUUGAGCAAGACAGGAGGACCCAGCUCUCUAUACCAUGGAGGAAAACAGGGUGGUUUCCUAGAUGACCAACAUGUGGCCAACUGAUGGGGGAGACCCAUCCUGGAUGGAAGCCCAGACAGAACAAAAGCAGCUGAAGAACGAAAUCUGCUAACACAGGCUCUGUCUCUCUCCCCCCUCUCUCUGUCUCUGUCUCUCUGUCUCUGCCUCCCUCUCUCUGCUAUUCACCACGAGGUGAGCAGCUUUCCUCUGCCACACCCUUCCACCAUGAUAUUUCUGUCUCACUACAGAACUAAAAGCAAUGGAACCAUCUGACCAUGGACUGAAACCUUCGAAACCAUGAGC
ensembl:lncRNA